CGAUGUCAACUAGGCGUCGGGUUGUUAAAGACUCGGUGCCGGAGCUAACGCAUUAAGUUGACCGCCUGGGGAGUACGGCCGCAAGGUUGAAACUCAAAGAAAUUGACGGGGACCCGCACAAGCGGUGGAGCAUGUGGUUUAAUUCGAUGCAACGCGAAGAACCUUACCAGGCCUUGACAUCCUAGGAACUUGGCAGAGAUGCUUGGUGCCUUCGGGAACCUAGAGACAGGUGUUGCAUGGCUGUCGUCAG
rnacentral:rRNA from 1 species